AUACGGAGGGUGCAAGCGUUAUUCGGAAUCAUUGGGUUUAAAGGGUCCGUAGGCGGGCUAAUAAGUCAGGGGUGAAAUCCCACAGCUUAACUGUGGAACUGCCCUUGAUACUGUUGGUCUUGAGUUACAGUGAAGUGGUUAGAAUGUGUAGUGUAGCGGUGAAAUGCAUAGAGAUUACACAGAAUACCGAUUGCGAAGGCAGAUCACUAACUGUAUACUGACGCUAAUGGACGAAAGCGUGGGGAGCGAACAGGAUUAGAAACCCCAGUAGUCC
rnacentral:rRNA from 1 species